GCUUCAGUUGGGGUGGAAAUUUUAGAGCCUAAUUGCUAAUAUAUCCCAUCAUGUAAAUUUUUUGAAUAAAAUUUAUCUAAGUUUUCUUUUUUUUUCUUUUUGAGAAAUAGAGAGGCAAAUGAGCAUACUACUUUUAUGUAGAGAGAAUAUCUUGCAGGCAGGACAAGAAAAAUUAAGUCGGCGCACUCUUCAUCUGAACUUGC
rnacentral:lncRNA from 1 species